ensembl:lncRNA
AUUCAUAUAUGUGUAAAUAUUUCUUAAAUAUAUACAUGUACGUGUGUAUUUAUAUAUACAUGUACAUACAUAUACAAUAUGUAAAUACAAACUUUUAUUUUGGAUGCGAUUAAUCGCGAUUAAUCAAUUUGACAGCCCUAUUUAAAAUGUAUACAUUAGUGUGAACUGAAUCUAAUGUUUUUGGACUCUUAACUGUAUUACAGUUAAAUGAAUAUGUAGUUAAAAUGCAGUUAGUUGAACUUUAAAGUGCUUUUCUGACCCAAGUUAGUAGGACGUUUUUAAAAGUGCACUUAAGUGUGUUAAGAAACGUAGUCAUUAACAUGCACUCUUUUAAAGUAUACUUAAGUGGCCUUUUAUUUCACUAAUAUUAUAUUAUCUGCACAUUCAGUACAAUCAAGUGCACUUCUUUUUCACAAGGGUCAUGCAUUCAGUUUUAAAGUGCUGGACUAAUGAAUGUGGCAAAGUGAUUGUACAUGAUACUAAAUACAUGCUAAAGAAAUAAAACAUUGUUGUUCUUCAUAUUACAGUAUGUCAUGUAAAUGCUAGUGUGAGACUGUUAAGCACAUUUAAUUGCAAAAUAACUGCAAAUGAUAAAUUACUGCAUUAAAAUAAUUCAAUUGUAGUGAUGACAACUAGAAUCAGUAUCAGUUGUUUGUUCUAAAAUUAGAGAGAGAGAAAAACUAGUUUUGUUUGUGUGCUACAAAGCUAUUAAGCAGAAACUGUUGAAUCAGUAACAGCCGUACUUGUUACAUAAGCUUCACUUUAAAAGAUUAAAUCAUUCUUCAGUGACCCGGCCUGACCCUUCACCACACGCCUGGUUGCUCCAGAUUCACUUAAACAAAAUUCAAUCUCCAUUUUGCUCUUAAAUAAAUGCAUAAAUAACUGAACAUUCCUUGCAAGUUGUGAAUGCUGUCACUUUUUUGUCUUUGGGGUUUCAUAUGUGACCAUGCAUUUUCUCUUUCCACUUAAAAAUUAUGUUAAUUUCUACUAUGUGAGUCGUUUAUACUUCUAUUUCUUUAUUCCAUGAGUGAAGGUUUCUAUGAGAAGGUAAGCUAAACUUUGAGGUGUUUGAUUAUAUAAAUUGUAAACUGUCAGGUCAGAGAGGUGUUCAGUAUUAAGUGACUUUUCUGAUUUAUACUUUCUACAGCUCCACUUUCUGUAUGUGACUGACAUAAAACUGUGCUUUGCACUUGUAUUAAAGUAACAUGUUAAAGAGC